rfam:TPA: Bos taurus chromosome 10, whole genome shotgun sequence.
UAGCUCAGUUGGUAAAGAAUCUGCCUGCAGUGCAGGAGACCCAGGUUCAAUCCCUGG